rnacentral:rRNA from 1 species
ACGCUCGACACCUACGGGAGUCAGCAGUGGGGAAUAUUGGGCAAUGGGCGCAAGCCUGACCCAGCAACGCCGCGUGAAGGAAGAAGGCCCUCGGGUUGUAAACUUCUUUUAUCAGGGACGAAGCAAGUGACGGUACCUGAUGAAUAAGCCACGGCUAACUACGUGCCAGCAGCCGCGGUAAUCUGAGCGGGCUGGCAAGGC